GACGAACGCUGGCGGCAUGCCUAAUACAUGCAAGUCGAGCGGAGUUGAUGGAAAGCUUGCUUUCCUGAUACUUAGCGGCGGACGGGUGAGUAACACGUAGGCAACCUGCCCUCAAGCUCGGGACAACUACCGGAAACGGUAGCUAAUACCGAAUACUUGUUUUCUUCGCCUGAAGAGAACUGGAAAGACGGAGCAAUCUGUCACUUGGGGAUGGGCCUGCGGCGCAUUAGCUAGUUGGUGAGGUAACGGCUCACCAAGGCGACGAUGCGUAGCCGACCUGAGAGGGUGAUCGGCCACCCUGGGACUGAGACACGGCCCAGACUCCUACGGGAGGCAGCAGUAGGGAAUCUUCCGCAAUGGGCGAAAGCCUGACGGAGCAAUGCCGCGUGAGUGAUGAAGGUUUUCGGAUCGUAAAGCUCUGUUGCCAGGGAAGAACGCUUGGGAGAGUAACUGCUCCCAAGGUGACGGUACCUGAGAAGAAAGCCCCGGCUAACUACGUGCCAGCCGCCGCCGUAA
rnacentral:rRNA from 1 species